CUGGUACACCCUCGGCUUAUCUGCAUGAAGAGAACAACGUGGGAGUUUACUAAACACCCUCUAAUGGAGCACACAAUAGCAGUCACAAACUCAUCUCUACUCCACACGGCUCAGAACCCCUUCCCCCUCCUACUCCUUCUUUCUCAUUAAAAUCCCAAUGUGUGCGCUUCCCUCCCUCCAACACACACACGAAAAAUCAUUUAAAAAAGGCCAUUUAUUUUGUUUUAUUUCAUGUUUUUCUUAACACACUGAGGUGUCUCUAUGAAGUGUCCUUGCAAUGUUUUCGACCCUGAUAAGCCAAUUAAUGUCUGACCGAGUAGCUUAGACAUUGGUAACACAUACAUUAUUCCAUAAUCAACAAUAAACUGUACUUUGAAUAACACGUAUUGCCUAAAUGUCCUAGAUUUUGUCUGAAUGCUCCGUGCGUAAAAUAAUUAUGAGCGCUUGGUGCGCGCUGUGGCUCCGGCUAUUUUCAGCCGCUUUUCCCGACUUGAGAUCCCGCUGUUCCCGGCUCGGGCUCUCCCUUUACAGCACAACACAGCUCUGCUUUCGUAAUACGCCGUCAGCAGACCCUUUUCCUGCAUGCUGUUCUUUACGCGCUACCUCGCCCCUCGGACUGACCGGGAACAAAGAAAAGCGACACAAAAUGUGUUUCAGCAAAACGCUACAAAAUGAUUUCCUGACAAAAAUCCAAGGUGAAACUCACCAGACAUGAUGGCUGAAUUGAAGAGAGGAUCCCUGGAGAAGACCUGUGGGACUCCACAACGUCCUUUUCUGCCUCAGCAAAAUGGCCAAGAACGAAAUUUGUGCAAAAGUCUCCAAAAAUCUCAACACAAAUGUCUCACAGCAGAGUCAGAGCAUACAACAAUAUUGUAAUAUAGCUGGGGACAUAUUAGUUUGAGAUUUUCUCCCUCCAUGCCUACUAUUUAAAACCCCUAGAACUCAAUGAUUUGACAAUGAUUUGAUUGCGCGUUACUUUCAAUUUGAAUAUUCAGAGGCAAGCAAGUAAAAUCGAUUUUUCAAUAAAAAUCACCACGCAUGGACAUCGCAUAAGCCCCGCUUUAAUGUAAUAUAUUAGAAUUUUACACUUUGACCGAAAAAAAACAUACUUUUAUUAAUUUUAUCGUCCUUUUCCAAUAUCAGAGCAUCACACCCCCUCACCAAGCACUACAACACUGGGUGCUUGUCGUGCGCAAAUUUAACACCACAUUUCAACUUAUAUGCGCCACCACACACUUAUUACGACCUGUCUACAUGCCGACAGUGUGAUCAAUGACAUAUUUAUACUUUAGUUUAGAGAAAUAAUACAUAAAAUUGGGAAAAAAGUGGGCGUGGCAAAGGGCAGCAGCCAUCCCUGCAGGCCUGCAGCUGCAGUACUGAGUGGUCCCCUAGUGCUCUCGCCUGAGCUGAGCUGCUGAGCUAGGCUCAGCGCGUUUUUCAAACUUAUCCUUUACAAACAUUUCUUCUAUUGCAAAUGAAAAAUAUAAUUUUAGAACAAUUGCAUGUGCUUUUUCCCCCCGGGCGAGGAUGCAUAUCUCGGUAGAGUGUCUUAAACUGGUAUUUUUUAAUUUAGCAGUGUCACAACAGCAUGCUAAAUCCUAACACUCAAAUCAACCUGCACACUGGUUAUUAUUAUUAUUAUUAUUUUUUAAUGCACUUUUAAAAUGAUGCAUUAAAAACUUGGUGUCUCUUUCUGUGUAGCAGAGAACAAAGUCGUAGUAACGGCAGCCUGCACGAAUUCCUGCAACUAUUUGCGAAUGCGGUGGGCGCAUAUUAACAAAAGCAAAUUAUUAGAAGUAGCAGAAAAAAUACAAACAUUUCAUUUUGAUUAUCAUGUCACAGCUGCAAACACCUGAGACAAUUUGAUCGCACAGACUUGUCAUUCUUCAUUCAUUUAGUAUUAAUGCUAUUGUAAUAAUCGUAACUCUUUGAGUUAUAAUUACUAUAAAGGCAAUCAUGCUUCUUUCUAUCUGUAGCAGUAGUUGUAUCCACAGCUCAUUAAGCGUGAAUGAAAGGAUUUUUGAGAAACGCUUUGAGCAGCACGUUAAUGUGCUUCAUAUUCCGCCAUACCAAAACUUCCCUUCGCUCCUCUCAAGCACUUUUCCAUAAAGCCUCCUCUUAACUACAUUGCACGCUCUGUCCCUGUUCACUGCUCCUCGUGGAUGCUCCGCUUCUUUUCGCAGCGGCUCAGCUCUUGCUGCUGGAACCGCGGCGCGAUUGCUCCACCUAGUGGACAACAACAGGAACUCUCCUCUCCUCUAGCUAAACUGCAGCAAGAAUGUACUUGACAAAAUAAAAAAGUUCUUUUCUUUUCUUUUCUUUUCUUUUCUUUUCUUUUUUUUCUUUUCUUUUCUUAGUUUAAUUCCUGAAAACAGAUAAAUUCAUCCAUAAACCAUAAAACAUAGCAUGAAUAUUUAUUUAAUAUUUGGCAUUUUUUUUAGCCAAUUUCGUUUUUUAUUUGAUUCAUUUCACAGUGAACAACAAAUAUAAAACUUUUUACAUGCUAUAUAAACCAGUGAAAGACAAUAUACGUCGAGAGACUAUGCCAUAGAAAUAAACCGAUCAAAUAGAAGGAAGACCAAGAAAAAAAAAAUAUGUAGCUAUUAUAGAAAAAUGCUUGUUGUUUCUCUAAACUCUGUAUCAGAUACAUGGAAUAACUGCUUUAUUUUUUAAGUUAAGGAUUUUUAAUUAAAGAUUUGUUUGACAGGUGCUAUUGCUGUUAACAAACACACAAACACUUAAUGUGUGCUGAAAAUCAUUACAGGUGUACAAUUAGACAAUGCUACAGCAUAAACAAUUGUGACUGUAUUUUAAACAUAUUCAUUAAUUAAGUUUUUAUUGAUUUCACGGUGCUGUUUGGAUCUGUUUUUUUUUCCUGAUUAACAGUCCUCAUCACACUUCUCACAUCCUCAGUUAUUUGACUGUUGCAUUUUUUAAAUUAUCAUAUUAUCUCUCGCUUAAAUUGCACUUUUCUUAUAAAAGUACGGUGUACAUUUCAGAUUAACCUGUCAUCUGUUAUUUUCAUUUAAAGUGAUAAUUGUAAAAAUAAAUAGUUCACUCAG